rnacentral:rRNA from 1 species
UCGAGAAUCAUUCACAAUGGGGGAAACCCUGAUGAUGCGACGCCGUGUGAGCGAUGAAGGCCUUCGGGUUGUAAAGCUCUUUCGUGAGGGAACAAGAAAAAGGGACGAAUAAUCCUUUGAUUUGAGAGUACCUUAUAAAGAAGCACCGGCUAACUCCGUGCCAGCAGCUGCGGUAAUACGGAGGGUGCAAGCAUUAAUCGGAAUUAUUGGGCGUAAAGGGCGCGUAGGCGGACGGGCAAGUCAGAUGUGAAAUUUCGGAGCUCAACUUCGAAGCUGCAUUUGAAACUAUCUGUCUGGAGGAUAGGCGGAGAAAACGGAAUUCCACGUGUAGCGGUGAAAUGCGUAGAGAUGUGGAAGAACACCUGUGGCGAAAGCGGUUUUCUAGCUUAGACCUGACGCU